rnacentral:rRNA from 1 species
GGGGAAUAUUGCACAAUGGGCGAAAGCCUGAUGCAGCGACGCCGCGUGAGGGAUGACGGCCUUCGGGUUGUAAACCUCUUUCAGUAGGGAAGAAGCGAAAGUGACGGUACCUGCAGAAGAAGCGCCGGCUAACUACGUGCCAGCAGCCGCGGUAAUACGUAGGGCGCAAGCGUUAUCCGGAAUUAUUGGGCGUAAAGAGCUCGUAGGCGGUUUGUCGCGUCUGCCGUGAAAGUCCGGGGCUCAACUCCGGAUCUGCGGUGGGUACGGGCAGGCUAGAGUGAUGUAAGGGAGACUGGAAUUCCUGGUGUAGCGGUGAAAUGCGCAGAUAUCAGGAGGAACACCGAUGGCGAAGGCAGGUCUCUGGGCAUUAACUGACGCUGAGGAGCGAAAGCAUGGGGAGCGAACAGGAUUAGAUACCCUGGUAGUCCAUGCCGUAAACGUUGGGCACUAGGUGUGGGGGACAUUCCACGUUUUCCGCGCCGUAGCUAACGCAUUAAGUGCCCCGCCUGGGGAGUACGGCCGCAAGGCUAAAACUCAAAGGAAUUGACGG